rnacentral:rRNA from 1 species
UCCGCCAGGGAACUACGAGCUACAGCUUAAAACCCAAAGGACUUGGCGGUGCCCUACACCACCUAGAGGAGCCUGUUCUAUAAUCGAUAAUCCACGAUGCACCUCACCGUUUCUUGCCAAAACCGCCUAUAUACCGCCGUCGUCAACUUACCCCUUGAGGGGUACAUAGUAAGUUUAAGGGUACUCACCAAAACGUCAGGUCAAGGUGUAGCGAAUGAAACGGGAAGAAAUGGGCUACAUUUUCUAUAUUAGAUUACACGGACAACCAAUAUGAAACUUGGUUGCAAAGGAGGAUUUAGCAGUAAAAAGAAAUCAUCAAGUUCUUUUUAACAUGGCCCUAGGGCGCGCACACACCGCCCGUCGCCCUCUUCGACUCUUUAAAAUUUAUUCAUGAUAAGUUAACUAUGAAACUAGAAGAGGUAAGUCGUAACAUGGUAAGUAUACCGGAAGGUGUACUUGGA